GGGGGUGUAGCUCAAUUGGGAGAGCGUCAGCUUUGCAAGCUGAAUGUCGUGGGUUCGAUUCCCUCCACCUCCA
rnacentral:tRNA from 1 species